rnacentral:rRNA from 1 species
GUGGGGAAUUUUGGACAAUGGGGGCAACCCUGAUCCAGCCAUUCCGCGUGAGUGAAGAAGGCCUUCGGGUUGUAAAGCUCUUUCGUCAGGAACGAAACGGCGGGCUCUAACAUAGCCUGUUAAUGACGGUACCUGAAGAAGAAGCACCGGCUAACUACGUGCCAGCAGCCGCGGUAAUACGUAGGGUGCGAGCGUUAAUCGGAAUUACUGGGCGUAAAGCGUGCGCAGGCGGAUUGUUAAGCAAGACGUGAAAUCCCCGGGCUUAACCUGGGAAUGGCGUUUUGAACUGGCAGUCUAGAGUGCGUCAGAGGGGGGUGGAAUUCCACGUGUAGCAGUGAAAUGCGUAGAGAUGUGGAGGAACACCGAUGGCGAAGGCAGCCCCCUGGGAUGACACUGACGCUCAUGUACGAAAGCGUGGGUAGCAAACAGGAUUAGAAACCCCUGUAGUCC